rnacentral:rRNA from 1 species
GACGAACGCUGGCGGCGUGCUUAACACAUGCAAGUCGAACGGAAAGGCCCUGCUUUUGUGGGGUGCUCGAGUGGCGAACGGGUGAGUAACACGUGAGUAACCUGCCCUUGACUUUGGGAUAACUUCAGGAAACUGGGGCUAAUACCGGAUAGGAGCUCCUGCUGCAUGGUGGGGGUUGGAAAGUUUCGGCGGUUGGGGAUGGACUCGCGGCUUAUCAGCUUGUUGGUGGGGUAGUGGCUUACCAAGGCUUUGACGGGUAGCCGGCCUGAGAGGGUGACCGGCCACAUUGGGACUGAGAUACGGCCCAGACUCCUACGGGAGGCAGCAGUAGGGAAUAUUGCACAAUGGGCGGAAGCCUGAUGCAGCAACGCCGUGUGCGGGAUGACGGCCUUCGGGUUGUAAACCGCUUUCGCCUGUGACGAAGCGUGAGUGACGGUAAUGGGUAAAGAAGCACCGGCUAACUACGUG